CUCUUCUUGGAUUAAUGGGAGGUAGGAUCUGCUCCAUGCGAAAAGUAAAUUGCCGCAGUAUCUUGACUGUGCUAAGGUAGCAAAAUAAUUUGGCUCUUUAUUGGAGUCUGGAAUGAAUGAUCUGACAAGGUCUAUUCUGUCUCACCCGUUAUAUUGGAAAUUGGAUUGUCUGUAAAAAUACAAACGUGAGAGAGAGGGACGAAAAGACCCUAUAGAUCUUUACUUUACUCUGCCUAGCAUACUUUGGAGACCUGGGUAGUUAAAGUUUACUUGGGAUAAGGCUAAAAACGAAUUUUGGUAGGAGUAAAAGACUGAUUAGUCGAAAAGAUGAUUUUAAAUAGAAGAUAAGUUACCUUAGGGAUAACAGGAUAAUUUCUUUGCUUAGAACUUAUAUUCAAAGAAGUUUAUUACCUCGAUGUUGAAUUAAGUUUUCUUCCGUUCGAAGAAGAACGGUGAGUCAGUCUGUUCGACUGUUAAAAACUU
rnacentral:rRNA from 1 species